AUGGAAUUCAGAAACGGUACCUUUGUGGCUGCAAGGGGUAACCAUCUUCAGAGAACUGACUACCAGACAGUGUUGCAGCAGACAGAGUCUGAGCCAGUCCAUCCAGGAGACUCUGUGACUCUGCAGUGUUCAGUCCUCUCUGAGUCCUGUACAGGACAACACAGUGUGUUCUGGUUCAGAGCCGGGGCAGGAGAAUCCCAUCCAGGACUCCUUUACACCCAAGGAGACAGGAGUGAAGAGUGUGAGAAGAGACCUGAGACUCCCUCUCCUACACGGAGCUGUGUCUACAGCCUCUCCAAGAACAACCUCAACUCCUCUGAUACUGGGACUUACUACUGUGCAGUGGCCACAUGUGGAGAGAUACUGUUUGGCAGUGGAACAAGACUGGAAUUUGAACCAGCUGUGGAUCUCCUAGUUAUCGUACUCGGGGUAACUUUAGCUGUGUGUGUUGUGUUGAUCAUUAUACUCAUCUGUACCAGAAAGACACGGACAGUGUGUGAGAAUUGUAAAGUACGCAGUAACUAA